AUCUAGCUGUUGAGUCCCAAAUAGGACGAAAUGCCCGUCAAACUGGAU
rfam:Schistosoma mansoni strain Puerto Rico chromosome 2, complete genome